UACGGAGGAUGCGAGCGUUAUCCGGAUUUAUUGGGUUUAAAGGGUGCGCAGGCGGAUUUUUAAGUCAGCGGUCAAAUCGUGGGGCUCAACCCCAUCCAGCCGUUGAAACUGGGGACCUAGAGUGUGCGAGAGGUAUGCGGAAUGCGUGGUGUAGCGGUGAAAUGCAUAGAUAUCACGCAGAACCCCGAUUGCGAAGGCAGCAUACCGGUGCACAACUGACGCUCAGGCACGAAAGCGUGGGUAUCAAACAGG
rnacentral:rRNA from 1 species